rnacentral:rRNA from 2 species
GACGGAGGGUGCAAGCGUUGUUCGGAUUGACUGGGCGUAAAGGGCGUGUAGGCGGUUCGUUAAGUCGGGUGUGAAAGCCCGGGGCUCAGCUCCGGAAGUGCGUCCGAAACUGGCGAGCUGGAGCGCGGUAGAGGAGGGUGGAAUUCCUGGUGUAGCGGUGAAAUGCGUAGAUAUCAGGAGGAACACCGGCGGCGAAGGCGGCCCUCUGGACCGUUGCUGACGCUGAGACGCGAAAGCGUGGGGAGCAAACAGG